rnacentral:rRNA from 1 species
UACGUAGGUGGCAAGCGUUGUCCGGAUUUAUUGGGUUUAAAGGGUGCGUAGGCGGCUUUGUAAGUCAGUGGUGAAAUAUGGCAGCUCAACUGUCAAGGUGCCAUUGAUACUGCAGAGCUUGAGUACAGAUGAGGUAGGCGGAAUUGACGGUGUAGCGGUGAAAUGCUUAGAUAUCGUCAAGAACACCUAUAGCGAAGGCAGCUUACUAGGCUGUAACUGACGCUGAGGCCCGAAAGGGUGGGGAUCAAACAGG